GUUUCUAUAGUUGAAUAACAACGGUGGUUUUUCGAGUCACUGGUCUCGGUUAGAGUCCGGGUAGAAAUU
rnacentral:tRNA from 1 species